UACGUAGGGUGCAAGCGUUGUCCGGAAUUAUUGGGCGUAAAGAGCUUGUAGGCGGUUUGUCGCGUCUGCUGUGAAAUUUCGGGGCUCAACCCCGAACUUGCAGUGGGUACGGGCAGACUAGAGUGUGGUAAGGGAGACUGGAAUUCCUGGUGUAGCGGUGAAAUGCGCAGAUAUCAGGAGGAACACCGAUGGCGAAGGCAGGUUUCUGGGCCACUACUGACGCUGAGACGCGAAAGCGUGGGGAGCGAACAGG
rnacentral:rRNA from 1 species